GAGUUUGAUCCUGGCUCAGGACGAACGCUGGCGGCGUGCCUAACACAUGCAAGUCGAACGAAGCUUGACGAUAGAUUUCUUCGGAAUGAAAUCAGAUAUGACUGAGUGGCGGACGGGUGAGUAACGCGUGAGCAACCUGCCCCUUGGAACGGGAUAGCGUCUGGAAAUGGACGGUAAUACCGUAUAAAAUAUUUUGAUGGCAUCAUUGAAAUAUCAAAACUCCGGUGCCAAGGGAUGGGCUCGCGUCUGAUUAGAUAGUUGGUGGGGUAACGGCCUACCAAGUCGACGAUCAGUAGCCGGACUGAGAGGUUGAACGGCCACAUUGGGACUGAGACACGGCCCAGACUCCUACGGGAGGCAGCAGUGGGGAAUAUUGCACAAUGGGGGAAACCCUGAUGCAGCAACGCCGCGUGAAGGAAGACGGUUUUCGGAUUGUAAACUUCUGUUCUUAGUGAAGAAACAUGACGGUAGCUAAGGAGCAAGCCACGGCUAACUACGUGCCAGCAGCCGCGGUAAUACGUAGGUGGCAAGCGUUGUCCGGAAUUACUGGGUGUAAAGGGAGCGUAGGCGGGAAGCCAAGUCAGCUGUGAAAACUACGGGCUUAACUUGUAGACUGCAGUUGAAACUGGUUUUCUUGAGUGA
rnacentral:rRNA from 1 species